rnacentral:rRNA from 1 species
UGGGGAAUUUUGGACAAUGGGCGAAAGCCUGAUCCAGCAAUGCCGCGUGUGUGAAGAAGGCCUUCGGGUUGUAAAGCACUUUUGUCCGGAAAGAAAUCCUUGGCUCUAAUACAGUCGGGGGAUGACGGUACCGGAAGAAUAAGCACCGGCUAACUACGUGCCAGCAGCCGCGGUAAUACGUAGGGUGCAAGCGUUAAUCGGAAUUACUGGGCGUAAAGCGUGCGCAGGCGGUUUGCUAAGACCGAUGUGAAAUCCCCGGGCUCAACCUGGGAACUGCAUUGGUGACUGGCAGGCUAGAGUAUGGCAGAGGGGGGUAGAAUUCCACGUGUAGCAGUGAAAUGCGUAGAGAUGUGGAGGAAUACCGAUGGCGAAGGCAGCCCCCUGGGCCAAUACUGACGCUCAUACACGAAAGCGUGGGGAGCAAACAGGAUUAGAUACCCUGGUAGUCCACGCCCUAAACGAUGUCAACUAGUUGUUGGGGAUUCAUUUCCUUAGUAACGUAGCUAACGCGUGAAGUUGACCGCCUGGGGAGUACGGUCGCAAGAUU